rnacentral:rRNA from 1 species
AUGAAUAUCUUGUCUUGGAACUGCUUGGGAGAGGGGGGCCGUCGGACAGUUCGUGAGGUUUUGGCCCUCUCAAAAGCCAACAACCCCAAGCUAGUGUUUCUCUGCGAGACUAGACAGGAUGCAACCAAAGUAGAGAAAAUGAAGUGGAGGCUGGGGCUAAAAGUCUUCCACGGAGUCAGUAGUGAUGGAAGAUGCGGUGGGCUAGCUUUGUUCUGGGAUGAGAAUCUCACAGUUAUAGUGCUUGAAUCUUGCAAUAGGUUCAUUGAUGUCCGUAUCCCUGAAGGAGGCUCCGGUAUUUCAUGGAUAGGUACCUUUGUAUAUGGGGAGCCAAGAGUGGAAAAUCGCCAGCCUAUGUGGGAUCAUCUGUGCCGAUUGCGUGCUAUUUUGCGAGAGCCAUGGGUUGUAUGUGGUGACUUCAAUGAAGCACUCUGGCAGUACGAGCAUCUGUCAAGAUCAGCUCGAGCGGAGGCACAAAUGUCAGUGUUCAGGGACUGUUUACAAACAUGCGACCUAGAGGAACUCGGGUUCUCUGGUCUUCCCUUCACAUACAAUAAUGGUCAGGAUGAAAAUCGCAAUGUACAGGUCCGCCUCGAUCGGGCUUGUGUGGAUGAGGCGCUAUGA